rnacentral:rRNA from 1 species
AAUAUUGCGCAAUGGAGGGAACUCUAACGCAGCCACGCCGCGUGAGCGAUGAAUGUCAUAGGAUCGUACAGCUCUGUCCUUGGGGAAAAAGGUCUUCGGACUUGACGGUACCUAAGGAGGAAGCCCAGGCUAAAUACGUGCCAGCAGCCGCGGUAAUACGUAGGGGGCAAGCGUUGUCCGGAAUUAUUGGGCGUAAAGGGUGCGUAGGCGGCCUUUUAAGUCAGAUGUGAAAGCCCACGGCUUAACCGUGGGACUGCAUUUGAAACUGGAGGGCUUGAGUAUCGGAGAGGGUAGUGGAAUUCCCAGUGUAGCGGUGGAAUGCGUAGAUAUUGGGUGGAACACCAGUGGCGAAGGCGACUACCUGGACGAAAACUGACGCUGAGGCACGAAAGCUAGGGGAGCAAAU